GACGAACGCUGGCGGCGUGCUUAACACAUGCAAGUCGAACGAAGAGCGAUGGAAGCUUGCUUCUAUCAAUCUUAGUGGCGAACGGGUGAGUAACGCGUAAUCAACCUGCCCUUCAGAGGGGGACAACAGUUGGAAACGACUGCUAAUACCGCAUACGAUCUAAUCUCGGCAUCGAGGAUAGAUGAAAGGUGGCCUCUACAUGUAAGCUAUCACUGAAGGAGGGGAUUGCGUCUGAGUAGCUAGUUGGAGGGGUAACGGCCAAACAAGGCGAUGAUCAGUAGCCGGUCUGAGAGGAUGAACGGCCACAUUGGGACUGGGACACGGCCCAGACUCCUACGGGAGGCAGCAGUGGGGAAUCUUCCGCAAUGGACGAAAGUCUGACGGAGCAACGCCGCGUGAGUGAUGACGGCCUUCGGGUUGUAAAGCUCUGUUAAUCGGGACGAAAGGCCUUCUUGCGAAUAGUGAGAAGGAUUGACGGUACCGGAAUAGAAAGCCACGGCUAACUACGUG
rnacentral:rRNA from 1 species